rnacentral:rRNA from 1 species
AUGGAGAAGCACUUACCCAGACCGUCUGAGGGGCCAGAUGAUAAGUGCAUGGAGGCGAGAUUGGAGGAUGGUGGCGUGAUGGGGCCAGACGCGUCGGUGGACCUGACGGGGGACGAGCAAUGUGCAUCUCAGGGGAAGGAGCUCAGUUUUGGGCCGCAUUCGCCAAGGAGCAGCCCAGGAGGCAUGGGCCAGGCCUGGGGCGUGUCAACUCUCGAGGCCCAGUGCGGGGAAGCGGGGGCUGCUAGGAGCGAGGAGGGCCAGGAUGCGCCAGAUCCACUCCAGGCCUUCCUCAUCUCCUGCUCCUCCCCCACACCCGCUGCUCUGCUUCCAGCCCCGGCGGCCAGCGGCGACCUGGUGGCCGAGCCGGCCGGUGCGCUGGCUAAAAGGAGCAGUGGCCGCCUUGCCGCAAAGCCUACGGCGGGCCUAUCCACGAUGGAUAAGGUCGGGAUGGUGCUGCUGAAGAAAAGCGAGAUUUGGGACGGUGCGGGGCCGUCCGUCGCCGCAUCAGCUGAGGACAUGCAGAGGUACAGAGAUAUCUACAAGAAGCCGCUGCCGGACAGCUUCAUCUCGGCGGUGGAGGAGCUGAUUGGGGUCAACGGACAACACAUGUGCUCCGACAGGCUGGGUCGGGCUGCUUGUGCCUGA